UGUGUGAGAAAGUCAGCCGAGCUGCUGUCGCCUUUGUGUGGCCCGCGAUGCGUGUGCUGGUGACUCAGCUCAGGGACCACCCGGAUCGGCUGGCUCCGAGAUCCCAACGUCCUCACUACAAACGGGUGCACCUGUGGCAGAUCAGGG